rnacentral:misc_RNA from 1 species
AAGUCGUAACAAGGUUGCCGUAGGUGAACCUGCGGCAGGAUCAUUAACGAUUUAAAAACAAACUGUCCUUUUUGUUGGGCUGCUUCUCGAAGGAGAAAUUUUUCUCCGUUUCGAGCGAGCUAAAAACAGUAAAUGGUAUCCAAAACUAAAUCGACCUGCUUGAUAAGGGUCGCAGAAUUUACGAUCGAUUGGCGGCCGACAGGCGUACGCGGAUUGAGUAACCGGCAUUCCGCGAGAAGCCUUGGCUGACUUGAUCGUUUGGUUUACAAAAUUAAAUCGACCUAUUAUUAAGGGUCGCUUAAAAAAACUUGCCGAUCGGUGGAUCACUCGGCUGGU